GUCGAAUAUAAAUAAAUUUACUAUACGGGCAACCACAAUCUAACAAAUCUUCCCCUUACUGUAGAGUAAAUAUGACAUAUCAACCAUAACCAUCCUCUCUAGAUGACCAUCAAAAACUUUAGCCGAUGAGCCUUUUAUAAAUGUGUCCAGAAGAUUACCUGCUCAUGCAAUCUAGCCUCCAACCUCAUUAUCUCAAUUAUAAAAACCUCGACGAAGGUGGUAAGUCAACUCAAAGUUCCAGUCACGUCGUCACGAUGAGGAUUCUAAACAACCAACCUCCUUAGCAACUUCACAGGUUGCUGAAGACUCUUUUUCAUGGCAUAACCAGCAAUCCAAGAUUGCCUCGAACUCAUCCGAAUAACCACUCCACCUCCUACUUAUACUUCGAUGGUAACGAAUCCCAAUUGCCCUUGUUAAAUCUGAUCUAUAUCAAUUUAAUCUAUCGGAUCAUGAUCUGAACAAAUAAGCAUAUAGUCACUUGUUCACCAAAAAUACUUGAGUAUAUGCUUUACCUGUGACGACCCAGAAUUCUGAUUAUAGGGGAUGGUUUUUGGAUAUCCCUAAAUAAGCCCGUUCCAAUGAUACUGAAAUCACGCGAAGAUAACCAAACAGUUUUUAUAACUUUAAGUUUGAAAAUCUA
rnacentral:lncRNA from 1 species